AUGUUUCAAAUGAGAAUGUCCAAUGGAAAAAAAAUUGAAGCCAUUUUGGUUUGGUCCUUUCUUUCCUAUCACUGCUGCCACAGAGGGAAAAAAGAGGCAGGAGAGGCCUGCCUGUUGGUCAGUCAACUGACACUUACUUCGCCAGCUUAUCAGUUGUUCUCUGACUCCCUUGGAGAAGUCCUUCUUAUUGCUGAAUCUGUCAUGUUAGUUGACAGAGAAAACUUUGCUGGUCUACCUACAUUUUUGCUAAUCUCAUUGCCUAUCCUUCCAUUCACAGGCAUGUCAUGGUUGACAAGCUCUUGUAGUCCUCCAGUCACAUCAAUAAUGGUGACCGCCACCUCUCUUUUCCACUCUGGGCCUUCAAAAGCUGUCAUUGAUGGGUUAUCCAGCUUGACAGAUGCAGAACUGAACUGGGCAGUUAUGGUUGCAUGCAAAAGGCUGGAUACCAAAGUGACAAGGGAUACAAACUGUCACAGAGUUCCAUUUCUUGUGCACAAUGAAUAAAUAUAUAUAUGUACUGAACUUUCCAUUAGUUGUAAAGCUGAGGAGACUGAAGAGACAGCUAUAUGCAGCAGACAGCAGGAACAGCAGGACAGAAUUUCCAGCAGAAGCAGAACAGAAAGAAAGAAAGAUCCAACAGUGCUGUGGGGAAAUGCUGAGUUCAAGAAACUACUGCAGACAUGGAAGCACCACAAUUCUCAGAACUUGCAGAUAUUAGAAACUCAGGGAAUGUUUUGAGAAGAAGCAGUCUGAGAACUGCUGCCUUUCAAGGACAGCGUGUUCAUGCACAGUUCAGUGUUCAUGCACACUUUCAUUGCCUCAUUGCUUCUUGCAUCAGAAGUCCUUUUCCAAAUGUGUUAUGUCAAAUGCUACCAUAGUAUUUCACUAUUCUGUUACUAUAAUGUCCUGAUCAGCGAGAUCAUGGAUUUGCCAGGGAUUCUCUGGACUUGGGCAUAGGAGCGGGUUGCUCAGGGAGGUGGCAGAGUCACUGUCCCUGGGGGUGUUUGAGGAAAGUUUGGACAUGGUGCUUAGGAACAUGGUUUAGUGGGUGACAUUGGUGGUAGGGGGAUGGUUGGACCAGAUGAUCUUGGAGGUCAUUUCCAACCUUAAUGAUUCUAUGAACUCAAGAAACCAUGUCAAUCAGGCUGGUCAUGCUCCUAGUCAGAGGCAUGAAAAGACAUAAAAUGAGAGGGGGAAAAAAUAAAUGGAACCCUAGGUGGCCA
rnacentral:lncRNA from 1 species